UUUGAUUGAAAAGGAAGUUUGUAAUUAAGGGAAAAAGAAGAUUUUCUUAAAAGGAAAAAGAAUAUGAACAAAGAGAUUUGGAGAUCUUUACUUGGGGAAGAGAGCCACAAAAUUUAUUUAGUAUAAGUAAGUUGGGGAACUUUGUAUGAGAUCAACAAAAAGAAAAGUAUUUUUAGAAAAAUAGAUUUUAUUACUUGUAUGUGAGUGAAACAUAAAGGACAAAGGAGAUAGAGUUUUUUGGAUCAUCUGUUAAAUCAUAGAAACGUGUGAGACUCGUAUUUUACUGAUUAAGUAAGACUUGUAAGUUUAGUUGAAAAGAUCUAGUAAAGACGUAUUUCUUUGUUGUAAAUUUUUUGUGUUCAUAUGCCGUAGUACUUCUUAACACAACUCUCGUAUGACUCUAUAUUAGACCCAUUUUGCAC
rnacentral:lncRNA from 1 species